rnacentral:rRNA from 1 species
CUGGCGGCAGGCCUAACACAUGCAAGUCGAGCGCGCCUUCGGGUGAGCGGCGGACGGGUUAGUAACGCGUGGGUACGUGCCCUUUUCUACGGAAUAGCCUCUGGAAACGGAGAGUAAUACCGUAUACGCCCUUUGGGGGAAAGAUUUAUCGGAGAAGGAUCGGCCCGCGUUAGAUUAGGUAGUUGGUGGGGUAACGGCCUACCAAGCCUACGAUCUAUAGCUGGUUUUAGAGGAUGAUCAGCAACACUGGGACUGAGACACGGCCCAGACUCCUACGGGAGGCAGCAGUGGGGAAUCUUAGACAAUGGGGGCAACCCUGAUCUAGCCAUGCCGCGUGAGUGAUGAAGGCCUUAGGGUCGUAAAGCUCUUUCGCCUGUGAUGAUAAUGACAGUAGCAGGUAAAGAAACCCCGGCUAACUCCGUGCCAGCAGCCGCGGUAAUACGGAGGGGGUUAGCGUUGUUCGGAAUUACUAGGCGUAAAGCGCGCGUAGGCGGAUUAGAAAGUUGGGGGUGAAAUCCCGGGGCUCAACCUCGGAACUGCCU